GACGAACGCUGGCGGCGUGCUUAACACAUGCAAGUCGAACGGUAAGGCCCUUCGGGGUACACGAGUGGCGAACGGGUGAGUAACACGUGGGUGAUCUGCCCUGCACUUCGGGAUAAGCCUGGGAAACUGGGUCUAAUACCGGAUAGGACUCCUGCCUGCAUGGGUGGGGGCGGAAAGCUUUUGCGGUGUGGGAUGGGCCCGCGGCCGCUCAGCUUGGUGGUGGGGUGAUGGCCUACCAAGGCGACGACGGGUAGCCGGCCUGAGAGGGUGACCGGCCACACUGGGACUGAGAUACGGCCCAGACUCCUACGGGAGGCAGCAGUGGGGAAUAUUGCACAAUGGGCGCAAGCCUGAUGCAGCGACGCCGCGUGAGGGAUGACGGCCUUCGGGUUGUAAACCUCUUUCAGCACAGACGUAGCGCAAGUGACGGUAUGUGCAGAAGAAGGACCGGCCAACUACGUGCCAGCCGCCGCCGUAAAAC
rnacentral:rRNA from 1 species